rnacentral:rRNA from 1 species
GUGACGGAGUAUUGAAAGCACCGCGAACUGACGGAAUAGUUCGUUGAAGUAUGUAGCUAUAGAACCAGAUUAAGAGUUAGGUUUUGGCAAAAUACGAUAGUACCACAAAGCUUCGGCAGCGUGGAUAGUGUGCCUAAAAGCUUCCAAGAAAAACCUCUAAGCUUCAGAUUAUAAGAACCCGUACCGUAAACCGACACAGGUAGUUGGGAUGAGAAUUCUAAGGUGCUCGAGAGAUUCAUGGCUAAGGAACUAGGCAAAAUAGACCUGUAACUUCGG